rnacentral:rRNA from 1 species
GACGAACGCUGGCGGCGUGCUUAACACAUGCAAGUCGAACGGAAAGGCCCUGCUUUUGUGGGGUGCUCGAGUGGCGAAAGGGUGAGUAACACGUGAGUAACCUGCCCUUGACUUUGGGAAAACUUCAGGAAACUGGGGCUAAUACCGGAUAGGAGCUCCUGCUGCAUGGUGGGGGUUGGAAAGUUUCGGCGGUUGGGGAUGGACUCGCGGCUUAUCAGCUUGUUGGUGGGGUAGUGGCUUACCAAGGCUGUGACGGGUAGCCGGCCUGAGAGGGUGACCGGCCACAUUGGGACUGAGAUACGGCCCAGACUCCUACGGGAGGCAGCAGUGGGGAAUAGUGCACAAUGGGCGGAAGCCUGAUGCAGCAACGCCGCGUGCGGGAUGACGGCCUUCGGGUUGUAAACCGCUUUCGCCUGUGACGAAGCGUGAGUGACGGUAAUGGGUAAAGAAGCACCGGCUAACUACGUG